rnacentral:rRNA from 1 species
AUUUAAAGAAAGCGUAAUAGCUCACUGGUCGAGUCGGCCUGCGCGGAAGAUGUAACGGGGCUAAACCAUGCACCGAAGCUGCGGCAGCGACACUGUGUGUUGUUGGGUAGGGGAGCGUUCUGUAAGCCUGUGAAGGUGUGUCGUGAGGCAUGCUGGAGGUAUCAGAAGUGCGAAUGCUGACAUAAGUAACGAUAAAGCGGGUGAAAAGCCCGCUCGCCGGAAGACCAAGGGUUCCUGUCCAACGUUAAUCGGGGCAGGGUGAGUCGACCCCUAAGGCGAGGCCGAAAGGCGUAGUCGAUGGGAAACGGGUUAAUAUUCCCGUACUUGGUGUUACUGCGAAGGGGGGACGGAGAAGGCUAUGUUGGCCGGGCGACGGUUGUCCCGGUUUAAGCGUGUAGGUGUGUGUUCCAGGUAAAUCCGGUUCACUUUAACACUGAGGCGUGACGACGAGGCACUACGGUGCUGAAGCAACAAAUGCCCUGCUUCCAGGAAAAGCCUCUAAGCAUCAGGUAACAUCAAAUCGUACCCCAAACCGACACAGGUGGUCAGGUAGAGAAUACCAAGGCGCUUGAGAGAACUCGGGUGAAGGAACUAGGCAAAAUGGUGCCGUAACUUCGGGAGAAGGCACGCUGACACGUAGGUGAAGUGAUUUACUCAUGGAGCUGAAGUCAGUCGAAGAUACCAGCUGGCUGCAACUGUUUAUUAAAAACACAGCACUGUGCAAACACGAAAGUGGACGUAUACGGUGUGACGCCUGCCCGGUGCCGGAAGGUUAAUUGAUGGGGUCAGCGCAAGCGAAGCUCCUGAUCGAAGCCCCGGUAAACGGCGGCCGUAACUAUAACGGUCCUAAGGUAGCGAAAUUCCUUGUCGGGUAAGUUCCGACCUGCACGAAUGGCGUAAUGAUGGCCAGGCUGUCUCCACCCGAGACUCAGUGAAAUUGAACUCGCUGUGAAGAUGCAGUGUACCCGCGGCAAGACGGAAAGACCCCGUGAACCUUUACUAUAGCUUGACACUGAACAUUGAGCCUUGAUGUGUAGGAUAGGUGGGAGGCUUUGAAGUGUGGACGCCAGUCUGCAUGGAGCCGACCUUGAAAUACCACCCUUUAAUGUUUGAUGUUCUAACGUGGACCCGUUACCCGGGUUGCGGACAGUGUCUGGUGGGUAGUUUGACUGGGGCGGUCUCCUCC